AUUGAACGCUGGCGGCAGGCCUAACACAUGCAAGUCGAACGAGCGGCGGACGGGUGAGUAAUGUAUGGGGACUGCCCGAUAGAGGGGGAUAACUACUGGAAACGGUGGCUAAUACCGCAUACUAUCGGAUAACCCAUAUGGGAUUAGCUAGUAGGUGGGGUAAAGGCUCACCUAGGCGACGAUCUCUAGCUGGUCUGAGAGGCUGAUCAGCCACACUGGGACUGAGACACGGCCCAGACUCCUACGGAGGCAGCAGUGGGGAAUAUUGCACAAUGGGCGAAAGUCUGAUGCAGCCAUGCCGCGUGAAUGAAGAAGGCCUUAGGGUUGUAAAGUACUUUCAGCGGGGAGGCGGUACCCGAAGAAGAAGCACCGGCUAACUCCGUGCCAGCAGCCGCGGUAAUAC
rnacentral:rRNA from 1 species